GUAUCGUAGUGGGGGGGGGGGGGAGGGGGGGGGGAGAAAGAGAGGGGAUAACUUUUUUGUGAAUCUACUACAUAUAAGCCUGUUUAGUAUAUCUCUACCUGUUUAUCUACCUAUCUCUCUACUUCUCUACAUUUCUUUCUAUCUACCUGUCUAUUUAUCUAUCUGCCACUCUACCUGUCUGUCUAUAUACCUGUUCAUCUACCUGUUUGUAUAUACCUGCCUACUAAAUUGCAAGAAGUCUGGUUACCUCCUCUUAUUAUGUGUAUAGAUGAGGCCUUAUAGUAUGCUAAUGCCUGUAUAUUAUGGUCCAACAAUAACAACAAUCAUAUUAUGGUCCGCCUAUGCCCAAUACAACAUGCUAGCAGCCACUAAGUCACAAAGAAAGAUAAGGAAUUAGAAUAACGAAGGAAGGAAGGAAGGAGAAGGUACCAAACACGUGUACCAGAGCGUAUCACGGAAAGAAAAAGAACAUGUGAUUAGGGAAGAAAAAAAGGUCGUUACGUGCGGAAGAGAUAUAAAAAAAAUAAAGAGUAGAAAUGAGGAAAAGAACGAAGGUACCAAACACGUGUCAGGGAAGAUAAAAAAUGUUAUAUAGGACGAAAAUAAAGAUGGUGAGGCACAUGUGAUAUUAUACAAGGAAACAGUCACCGAGAAGGAUAAGAAAUAAGACUAACGAAGGAAGGCAGGUAGGAAGGUAAGAGAAUAGAGAAGGUAGCGAACAGGUGUACCGGAACUUGUCAAGGAGAGAAAUAUAUAUGUGAAGUGGAACAAAAAAACGUUGACGGAGAGAGGAGAAAGAGGGAAAGAUAUGUUAGAUUGAAGGAAAAGAGAAAGAAAAGAGAGUAGGUAGCGAACACGUGUACCAGAAAUUGUUAAGAGAAAUAAAAAAAUGUUAUGAGGGACGAAAAAAUAAAGGAUUGUGAUUUGUGUGUAUUAGGAAACAGUAAAAAAGAAAGGAGUAAAAAGUAGAAGUUGGAAAAGAUGAGAAGAAAGAAAAGAGAGAAGUAGCAAACACGUGUACCAGAACAUGUCAAGGAAAUUAAAAGGUGAAGUGGAACGAGAAAAAAAAAUAGUGCUAUGUAAAGAGAAAAGUAAAAAUUAAAAGUUAGAAAAGAUGAGAAGAAAGAAAAGAAAGAAAGAAGGUAACAAACACGUGUACCAGAACAUGUCAAGGAAAUAAAAAAAAAAUUGUAACGAAAAAUAAAGGAUUGUGACGUGUGUGUAUUUGGAAACAGUCACAACGAGAGAAGCAGAAAUUAAAAGUUGGAAAAGAGGAAAAGAAAGAAAAGAAAGAAGGUAGCAAACACGUGUACCAGAACAUGUCAAGGAAAAAAAAAAUGUAACGAAAAAUAUAGGAUUGUGCCGUGUGUGUAUUUGGAAACAGUCACAACGAGAGAAGUAGAAAUUAAAAGUUGGAAAAGAGGAAAAGAAAGAAAAAGAAAGAAGGUAGCAAACACGUGUACCGGAACAUGUCAAGGAAAUUAAAAAAAAAAUUGUAACGAAAAAUAAAGGAUUGUGAAAUGUGUGUAUUUGGAAACAGUCACAACGAGAGAAGUAGAAAUUAAAAGUUGGAAAAGAGGAAAAGAAAGAAAAGAAAGAAGGUAGCAAACACGUGUACCAGAACAUGUCAAGGAAAUUAAAAAAAAAAUUGUAACGAAAAAUAUAGGAUUGUGACGUGUGUGUAUUUGGAAACAGUCACAACGAGAGAAGUAGAAAUUAAAAGUUGGAAAAGAGGAAAAGAAAGAAAAAGAAAGAAGGUAACAAACACGUGUACCAGAACAUGUCAAGGAGAGAAAAAAAUGUGAGGUAGAACACACACAAAAACGGCUGCAACGUGUGUGUAUCAGGAUCAGGGACGGGAAAAAAAAGUGAAGAAGGGAGAAAGAAAAAAAAUAGGUGGAAGCUACUAACACGAGUGCCGGAAAUGUUAGUAUAUAAAGAGUUUGUGACGCGACCGAGAAAAAAAUGAAGAAAAAAAAUGUUAAGCGCGUGUAAAAACAGAAUUAAAGUCAGGAAUACGUGGAACAGCGAAGAAAAAGGAAGAAAGAAAGAAAGAAAGAAAAGGGUCACUUGUGUACACGAGGAAGAUGGGGUAGAUAGUUUAGAACACCUUUAGAGAAAAUAAUAAUGCUAGAACGUUCAUAGACACACACCACCACCACCAACAACAACAACAGC